rnacentral:rRNA from 1 species
GGUUAAGCGACUAAGCGUACACGGUGGAUGCCCUGGCAGUCAGAGGCGAUGAAGGACGUGCUAAUCUGCGAAAAGCGCCGGCGAGGUGAUAUGAACCUUUGACCCGGCGAUGUCCGAAUGGGGAAACCCAGUGUGUUCCGACACACUAUCGUUAACUGAAUACAUAGGUUAACGAGGCGAACCGGGGGAACUGAAACAUCUAAGUACCCCGAGGAAAAGAAAUCAACCGAGAUUCCCCCAGUAGCGGCGAGCGAACGGGGAGCAGCCCGGAGUCUGAAUCAGCUUGUGUGUUAGUGGAACGGUCUGGAAAGUCCGACGGUACAGGGUGAUAGUCCCGUACACGAAAACACACAUGCUGUGAACUCGAAGAGUAGGGCGGGACACGUGGUAUCCUGUCUGAAUAUGGGGGGACCAUCCUCCAAGGCUAAAUACUCCUGACUGACCGAUAGUGAACCAGUACCGUGAGGGAAAGGCGAAAAGAACCCCGGCGAGGGGAGUGAAAAAGAACCUGAAACCGUGUACGUACAAGCAGUGGGAGCACCUUCGGGUGUGACUGCGUACCUUUUGUAUAAUGGGUCAGCGACUUAUAUUCUGUAGCAAGGUUAACCGUAUAGGGGAGCCGAAGGGAAACCGAGUCUUAACUGGGCGUUAAGUUGCAGGGUAUAGACCCGAAACCCGGUGAUCUAGCCAUGGGCAGGUUGAAGGUUGGGUAACACUAACUGGAGGACCGAACCGACUAAUGUUGAAAAAUUAGCGGAUGACCUGUGGCUGGGGGUGAAAGGCCAAUCAAACCGGGAGAUAGCUGGUUCUCCCCGAAAGCUAUUUAGGUAGCGCCUCGUGAACUCAUCUUCGGGGGUAGAGCACUGUUUCGGCUAGGGGGCCAUCCCGGCUUACCAACCCGAUGCAAACUACGAAUACCGAAGAAUGUUAUCACGGGAGACACACGGCGGGUGCUAACGUCCGUCGUGAAGAGGGAAACAACCCAGACCGCCAGCUAAGGUCCCAAAGUCAUGGUUAAGUGGGAAACGAUGUGGGAAGGCACAGACAGCCAGGAUGUUGGCUUAGAAGCAGCCAUCAUUUAAAGAAAGCGUAAUAGCUCACUGGUCGAGUCGGCCUGCGCGGAAGAUGUAACGGGGCUAAACCAUGCACCGAAGCUGCGGCAGCGACACUUAUGUGUUGUUGGGUAGGGGAGCGUUCUGUAAGCCGUUGAAGGUGUGCUGUGAGGCAUGCUGGAGGUAUCAGAAGUGCGAAUGCUGACAUAAGUAACGAUAAAGCGGGUGAAAAGCCCGCUCGCCGGAAGACCAAGGGUUCCUGUCCAACGUUAAUCGGGGCAGGGUGAGUCGACCCCUAAGGCGAGGCCGAAAGGCGUAGUCGAUGGGAAACAGGUUAAUAUUCCUGUACUUGGUGUUACUGCGAAGGGGGGACGGAGAAGGCUAUGUCAGCCGGGCGACGGUUGUCCCGGUUUAAGCAUGUAGGCGGAGGUUCCAGGUAAAUCCGGUACCUUUUAACGCUGAGGUGUGAUGACGAGGCACUACGGUGCUGAAGUGAUAAAUGCCCUGCUUCCAGGAAAAGCCUCUAAGCAUCAGGUAACACGAAAUCGUACCCCAAACCGACACAGGUGGUCAGGUAGAGAAUACCAAGGCGCUUGAGAGAACUCGGGUGAAGGAACUAGGCAAAAUGGUGCCGUAACUUCGGGAGAAGGCACGCUGAUAGGUAGGUGAAGCCCCUGCGGGCGGAGCUGAAAUCAGUCGAAGAUACCAGCUGGCUGCAACUGUUUAUUAAAAACACAGCACUGUGCAAACACGAAAGUGGACGUAUACGGUGUGACGCCUGCCCGGUGCCGGAAGGUUAAUUGAUGGGGUUAGCGGCAACGCGAAGCUCUUGAUCGAAGCCCCGGUAAACGGCGGCCGUAACUAUAACGGUCCUAAGGUAGCGAAAUUCCUUGUCGGGUAAGUUCCGACCUGCACGAAUGGCGUAAUGAUGGCCAGGCUGUCUCCACCCGAGACUCAGUGAAAUUGAACUCGCUGUGAAGAUGCAGUGUACCCGCGGCAAGACGGAAAGACCCCGUGAACCUUUACUAUAGCUUGACACUGAACACUGGUCCUUGAUGUGUAGGAUAGGUGGGAGGCUUUGAAGCGUGGACGCCAGUCUGCGUGGAGCCGCCCUUGAAAUACCACCCUUUAAUGGCUGGUGUUCUAACGUAGACCCGUGAUCCGGGUUGCGGACAGUGUCUGGUGGGUAGUUUGACUGGGGCGGUCUCCUCCCAAAGAGUAACGGAGGAGCACGAAGGUUGGCUAAUCCUGGUCGGACAUCAGGAGGUUAGUGCAAUGGCAUAAGCCAGCUUGACUGCGAGCGUGACGGCGCGAGCAGGUGCGAAAGCAGGUCAUAGUGAUCCGGUGGUUCUGAAUGGAAGGGCCAUCGCUCAACGGAUAAAAGGUACUCCGGGGAUAACAGGCUGAUACCGCCCAAGAGUUCAUAUCGACGGCGGUGUUUGGCACCUCGAUGUCGGCUCAUCACAUCCUGGGGCUGAAGUAGGUCCCAAGGGUAUGGCUGUUCGCCAUUUAAAGUGGUACGCGAGCUGGGUUUAGAACGUCGUGAGACAGUUCGGUCCCUAUCUGCCGUGGGCGCUGGAGAAUUGAGGGGGGCUGCUCCUAGUACGAGAGGACCGGAGUGGACGCAUCACUGGUGUUCGGGUUGUCAUGCCAAUGGCACUGCCCGGUAGCUAAAUGCGGAAGAGAUAAGUGCUGAAAGCAUCUAAGCACGAAACUUGCCCCGAGAUGAGUUCUCCCUGAGACUUUAAGUCUCCUGAAGGAACGUUGAAGACGACGACGUUGAUAGGUCGGGUGUGUAAGCGCAGCGAUGCGUUGAGCUAACCGAUACUAAUGAACCGUGAGGCUUAACCUU